GACGAACGCUGGCGGCGUGCUUAACACAUGCAAGUCGAACGGAAAGGCCCUGCUUUUGUGGGGUGCUCGAGUGGCGAACGGGUGAGUAACACGUGAGUAACCUGCCCUUGACUUUGGGAUAACUUCAGGAAACUGGGGCUAAUACCGGAUAGGAGCUCCUGCUGCAUGGUGGGGGUUGGAAAGUUUCGGCGGUUGGGGAUGGACUCGCGGCUUAUCAGCUUGUUGGUGGGGUAGUGGCUUACCAAGGCUUUGACGGGUAGCCGGGCUGAGGGGGUGACCGGGCAAAAUUGGAAUGAGAUACGGCCCAGACUCCCACGGGGGGGAGGAGGGGGGGAAUUUGCACAAAGGGGGGGAGGCUUAGUGCGGAAACGCGGGGGGGGGAAGGAGGGCCUUGGGGUGGAAAACCGUUUUCCCCUGGACGGAGGGGGGGGGGAGGGAAAGGGGUAAAAAAGCCCCGGGAAACUCGGG
rnacentral:rRNA from 1 species